rnacentral:rRNA from 2 species
CACGCCCUAAACGAUGUCAACUAGUUGUUGGGAGGGUAAAACCUUUUAGUAACGUAGCUAACGCGUGAAGUUGACCGCCUGGGGAGUACGGCCGCAAGGCUAAAACUCAAAGGAAUUGACGGGGACCCGCACAAGCGGUGGAUGAUGUGGAUUAAUUCGAUGCAACGCGAAAAACCUUACCUACCCUUGACAUGUCAGAAAUCCCUGAGAGAUUAGGGAGUGCCGCAAGGAAUCUGAACACAGGUGC